rnacentral:rRNA from 1 species
AUACGUAGGGUGCGAGCGUUGUCCGGAAUUACUGGGCGUAAAGAGCUCGUAGGUGGUUUGUCGCGUCGUCUGUGAAAUUCCGGGGCUUAACUCCGGGCGUGCAGGCGAUACGGGCAUAACUUGAGUACUGUAGGGGAGACUGGAAUUCCUGGUGUAGCGGUGAAAUGCGCAGAUAUCAGGAGGAACACCGGUGGCGAAGGCGGGUCUCUGGGCAGUAACCGACGCUGAGGAGCGAAAGCAUGGGUAGCGAGCAGGAUUAGAUACCCUGGUAGUCCAUGCCGUAAACGGUGGGCGCUAGGUGUAGGGGUCUUCCACGACUUCUGUGCCGUAGCUAACGCAUUAAGCGCCCCGCCUGGGGAGUACGGCCGCAAGGCUAAAACUCAAAGGAAUUGACGGGG